rnacentral:rRNA from 1 species
AGCGUAGACGGCAUGGCAAGUCUGAAGUGAAAGCCCGGGGCUCAACCCCGGGACUGCUUUGGAAACUGUCAGGCUAGAGUGCUGGAGAGGUAAGUGGAAUUCCUAGUGUAGCGGUGAAAUGCGUAGAUAUUAGGAGGAACACCAGUGGCGAAGGCGGCUUACUGGACAGUGACUGACGUUGAGGCUCGAAAGCGUGGGGAGCAAACA